CCUACGGGAGGCAGCAGUAGGGAAUAUUGGGCAAUGGAGGCAACUCUGACCCAGCCAUGCCGCGUGCAGGAUGAAGGCGUUAUGCGUUGUAAACUGCUUUUAUAUAGGAAGAAAUAGACCUUGCGAGGUAAGUUGACGGUACUAUAUGAAUAAGCACCGGCUAACUCCGUGCCAGCAGCCGCGGUAAUACGGAGGGUGCAAGCGUUGUCCGGAUUUAUUGGGUUUAAAGGGUGCGUAGGCGGUUUAUUAAGUCAGUGGUGAAAGACGGUCGCUCAACGAUUGCAGUGCCAUUGAUACUGGUAGACUUGAGUAUGAUUGAGGUAGCUGGAAUGGAUAGUGUAGCGGUGAAAUGCAUAGAUAUUAUCCAGAACACCAAUUGCGUAGGCAAGUUACUAAGUCAUAACUGACGCUGAGGCACGAAAGUGUGGGUAUCAAACAGGAUUAGAUACCCUGGUAGUCCACACUGUAAACGAUGAUAACUAACUGUUGGCUUUCGGGUCAGUGGUACAGAGAAAUCGUUAAGUUAUCCACCUGGGGAGUACGCCGGCAACGGUGAAACUUAAAUGAAUUGACCGGNNGAGAGAGCGAGACGACGACGAGGGAGGAGG
rnacentral:rRNA from 1 species